GAACCGUUAUAACCGGCGAUGUCCGAAUGGGGAAACCCAGUGCAAUUCGUUGCACUAUCGUUAACUGAAUACAUAGGUUAACGAGGCGAACCGGGGGAACUGAAACAUCUAAGUACCCCGAGGAAAAGAAAUCAACCGAGAUUCCCCCAGUAGCGGCGAGCGAACGGGGAGCAGCCCAGAGUCUGAAUCAGCUUGUGUGUUAGUGGAACGGUCUGGAAAGUCCGACGGUACAGGGUGAUAGUCCCGUACACCAAAAUGCACAGGCUGUGAACUCGAAGAGUAGGGCGGGACACGUGGUAUCCUGUCUGAAUAUGGGGGGACCAUCCUCCAAGGCUAAAUACUCCUGACUGACCGAUAGUGAACCAGUACCGUGAGGGAAAGGCGAAAAGAACCCCGGCGAGGGGAGUGAAAAAGAACCUGAAACCGUGUACGUACAAGCAGUGGGAGCACCUUCGGGUGUGACUGCGUACCUUUUGUAUAAUGGGUCAGCGACUUAUAUUCUGUAGCAAGGUUAACCGUAUAGGGGAGCCGCAGGGAAACCGAGUCUUAACUGGGCGUUAAGUUGCAGGGUAUAGACCCGAAACCCGGUGAUCUAGCCAUGGGCAGGUUGAAGGUUGGGUAACACUAACUGGAGGACCGAACCGACUAAUGUUGAAAAAUUAGCGGAUGACUUGUGGCUGGGGGUGAAAGGCCAAUCAAACCGGGAGAUAGCUGGUUCUCCCCGAAAGCU
rnacentral:rRNA from 1 species